rnacentral:sRNA from 1 species
GCCAGGCAUGGUGGCGCACACCUGUAGUCCCUGUGGCUCAGGAGGCUGAGGCAGGAGGAUUGAGAGUUCAAAGCCAGAGUCAGCAAAAGCAAGGUGCUAAGCAACUCAGUGAGACCCUGUCUCUA